rnacentral:tRNA from 1 species
AUCACGAUUGAAGAAAGGAAAUUCGCUGGUUGGUUUUUCCAGAGCUGCUGGUUCGAGUCCAGCUCGUGAGU